UUGGAGAAGUUUGGUUUCAUGAAGAAUCUGGCAGAGGGUCGGCCGACGGUGGACUUCGGAUGGCAUUGAGGAGGUUCGUCCGUUGGAGGAGUCUAGAGAUCCUGUGGAAGUCUGGAUGGCGUUGUUGAAGUCUGGCUGAUACUAUUGAAGGUUGAUGGUUGGGGAGGUUCGACAGAUACCGAAGGUGAUCGAUCGUUGUAGAAAUCCAGCUGCUGGAGCCCGUCUGUUGUAGAAGCUCAUCCGAAAUCCAUCCACCAUGGAAGUUCAGACAGAGUCCGGUUCCUGCAGAAGGCUGAAAGGAGGCCGCUUAUUGUAGAAGCUCGAUCGAAGAUCAGUUAUCGUGGAAGCUCGGAGUAGUGACCUGGCCGGUGGAGCCUGUCCCAUUAUAGAAGCUCGUCUGGGAUCCGGAGUGGAUAUUCGAAGUAGACCACCUACAGUAGGAGUUCGGAGUAGACUGCUUGCUGUAGAAGUUUGGCUCUCACAGGAGCUCGGGUGAAAUUCGGAAGGUGGUCAACCGUCGUAGAAACUUGGAUGGAGUCUGGUUACUGUAGAAAUCUCAUUGUCGGAGAAGCUCGGAUAUUGACAAAGUUCGAAAGAAGUUCGGAGUAGGGUCGUCCGUGGCCAGAAGAAGUCUGGAAGAGAUUCGGAGAAUAGUUGAUCACUGUAGAAGAUCGGCUGAUAGUGAAGCCCAGAGAGCCUUUGGAGCGGCCCGGUAGAUGAAUGGAGAAGUUCAUUGUCGAAGAAGUCCGGAUGGUCGAGGGAGUUCAGAAAGACGUCACAUAAGGUUGGAAGCCGGUAAAGCCCUGGAAGGGUCGGCCUUUUGCAAACUUCGGCUGGGG
rnacentral:lncRNA from 1 species